rnacentral:rRNA from 1 species
AGGCCUGAGGUACUGGAAGGUCCUCAGGCCGAAAGGGGCUCUGCCCGCCCGAGGAUGGGCCGGCGGCCGAUUAGGUAGUUGGUGGGGUAACGGCCCACCAAGCCGAAGAUCGGUACGGGCCAUGAGAGUGGGAGCCCGGAGAUGGACACUGAGACACGGGUCCAGGCCCUACGGGGCGCAGCAGGCGCGAAACCUCCGCAAUGCGGGCAACCGCGACGGGGGGACCCCCAGUGCCGUGGCAACGCCACGGCUUUUCCGGAGUGUAAAAAGCUCCGGGAAUAAGGGCUGGGCAAGGCCGGUGGCAGCCGCCGCGGUAAUACCGGCGGCCCGAGUGGUGGCCGCUAUUAUUGGGCCUAAAGCGUCCGUAGCCGGGCCCGUAAGUCCCUGGCGAAAUCCCACGGCUCAACCGUGGGGCUUGCUGGGGAUACUGCGGGCCUUGGGACCGGGAGAGGCCGGGGGUACCCCUGGGGUAGGGGUGAAAUCCUAUAAUCCCAGGGGGACCGCCAGUGGCGAAGGCGCCCGGCUGGAACGGGUCCGACGGUGAGGGACGAAGGCCAGGGGAGCGAACCGGAUUAGAUACCCGGGUAGUCCUGGCUGUAAAGGAUGCGGGCUAGGUGUCGGGCGAGCUUCGAGCUCGCCCGGUGCCGAAGGGAAG